GUCUACGGCCAUGCCACCCUGAACAAGCCCGAUCUCGUCUGAUCUCGGAAGUUAAGCAGGUCAGGCCUGGUUAGUACUUGGAUGGGAGACCACCUAGGAAGACCAGGUGCUGUAGGCA
rnacentral:rRNA from 1 species